GACGAACGCUGGCGGCGUGCUUAACACAUGCAAGUCGAACGGAAAGGCACUGCUUUCGUGGGGUGCUCGAGUGGCGAAGGGGUGAGUAACACGUGAGUAACCUGCCCUUGACUUUGGGAUAACUUCAGGAAACUGGAGCUAAUACCGGAUAGCAGCUCCUGCUGCAUUGUGGGGGUUGGAAAGUCUCGGCGGGUGGGGAUGGACUCGCGGCUUAUCAGCUUGCUGGUGGGGUAGUGGUUUACCAAGCCUUUGACGGGUAGCCGGCCUGAGAGGGUGACCGGCGACAUGGGGACUGAGAGACGGCCCAGACGCCUAUGGGAGGCAGCAGGGGGGAAUAUUGCACAAUGGGCGGAAGCCUGAUGCAGCAACGCCGCGUGCGGGAUGACGGCCUUCGGGCUGUAAACAGCUUUCGCCUGUGACGAAGCGGGAGUGACGGUAAUGGGUAAAGAAGCACCGGCUAACUACGUG
rnacentral:rRNA from 1 species